CAUACGACCGUACCGCAAACCGACACUGGUGCGCGAGAUGAGUAUUCUAAGGCGCUUGAGAGAACUCAGGAGAAGGAACUCGGCAAAUUGACACCGUAACUUCGGAAGAAGGUGUGCCCUAUUAGUGUGUAGUGAACAACGAAGCAUGAAUGGGUUGCAAAAAAUCGGUGGCUGCGACUGUUUAUUAAAAACACAGCACUCUGCAAACACGAAAGUGGACGUAUAGGGUGUGACGCCUGCCCGGUGCUGGAAGAUUAAAUGAUGGGGUGCAAGCUCUUGAUUGAAGUCCCAGUAAACGGCGGCCGUAACGAUAACGGUCCUAAGGUAGCGAAAUUCCUUGUCGGGUAAGUUCCGACCUGCACGAAUGGCGUAACGAUGGCCACACUGUCUCCUCCUGAGACUCAGCGAAGUUGAAAUGUUUGUGAUGAUGCAAUCUCCCCGCGGAAAGACGGAAAGACCCCAUGAACCUUUACUGUAGCUUUGUAUUGGACUUUGAACAGAUCUGUGUAGGAUAGGUGGGAGGCUUUGAAGCAGGGUCGCUAGAUCUUGUGGAGCCAACGUUGAAAUACCACCCUGGUGUGUUUGAGGUUCUAACCUAGGUCCAUUAUCUGGAUCGGGGACAGUGCAUGGUAGGCAGUUUGACUGGGGCGGUCUCCUCCCAAAGCGUAACGGAGGAGUUCGAAGGUACGCUAGUUACGGUCGGACAUCGUGACGAUAGUGCAAUGGCAUAAGCGUGCUUAACUGCGAGACUGACAAGUCGAGCAGAUGCGAAAGCAGGACAUAGUGAUCCGGUGGUUCUGUAUGGAAGGGCCAUCGCUCAACGGAUAAAAGGUACUCUGGGGAUAACAGGCUGAUACCGCCCAAGAGUUCAUAUCGACGGCGGUGUUUGGCACCUCGAUGUCGGCUCAUCUCAUCCUGGGGCUGUAGCCGGUCCCAAGGGUAUGGCUGUUCGCCAUUUAAAGAGGUACGUGAGCUGGGUUUAAAACGUCGUGAGACAGUUUGGUCCCUAUCUUCCGUGGGCGCUGCAGAUUUGAGGAAGCCUGCUCCUAGUACGAGAGGACCGGAGUGGACACACCUCUGGUGUAUCGGUUGUCACGCCAGUGGCAUUGCCGAGUAGCUAAGUGUGGAAGAGAUAACCGCUGAAAGCAUCUAAGCGGGAAACUCGUUUCAAGAUGAGAUCUGCCGGGGCCUUGAGCCCCCUAAAGAGUCGUUCAAGACCAGGACGUUGAUAGGUCAGGUGUGGAAGC
rnacentral:rRNA from 1 species